rnacentral:rRNA from 1 species
CAGCCGCCGCGGGAAAACGGAGGGUGCAAGCGUUAAUCGGAAUUACUGGGCGUAAAGCGCACGCAGGCGGUUUGUUAAGUCAGAUGUGAAAUCCCCGAGCUUAACUUGGGAACUGCAUUUGAAACUGGCAAGCUAGAGUGUGUCAGAGGAUGGUGGAAUUCCCGGUGUAGCGGUGAAAUGCGUAGAGAUCGGGAGGAACAUCAGUGGCGAAGGCGGCCAUCUGGGACAACACUGACGCUGAGGCACGAAAGCGUGGGGAGCAAACAGGAUUAGAUACCCCAGUAGGCCCUGUCUCUUAUAA